AUUGAACGCUGGCGGCAUGCCUUACACAUGCAAGUCGAACGGCAGCGGACCUUCGGGUGCCGGCGAGUGGCGAACGGGUGAGUAAAGUAUCGGAACGUACCUUUCAGUGGGGGAUAACUGUCCGAAAGGACAGCUAAUACCGCAUAUUCUGUGAGCAGGAAAGCAGGGGAUCGCAAGACCUUGCGCUGAUUGAGCGGCCGAUAUCAGAUUAGCUAGUUGGUGAGGUAAAGGCUCACCAAGGCGACGAUCUGUAGCGGGUCUGAGAGGAUGAUCCGCCACACUGGAACUGAGACACGGUCCAGACUCCUACGGGAGGCAGCAGUGGGGAAUUUUGGACAAUGGGGGCGAACCCUGAUCCAGCCAUGCCGCGUGAGUGAAGAAGGCCUCGGUUG
rnacentral:rRNA from 1 species